rnacentral:lncRNA from 1 species
UUCAAAGAACCAAUCAAAAUAAAUCUAUAAAGAAUAUAGAGAAUUUUGAUAUAGAAGAAUAUAUUUUAAUCAACUAUAUUGAUGUCUUUUGAGAAGCUAAAAAAUUUCAAGAUUACAAGUGCUGGACAGAUGGUAGAAUAUGGGUGGUAACAGAUUUGGUAAGCCAAUCUAGUAUCCUAUCAGAAAAAGAAGGAAACUGAGAUAUUCUUCUAGAUCCAAAGAAUUAUCCUAGUAAACUUUAAGAUAAAUUAUAAAAAAUCUUCAGAAAGGCAAAAUUAAUAUACAAACUUACUAAGUUUUUCCUCACCCACUGAGUCUUAUAUGAAAAAGCUCUUUAAAACCCUCUUUUUAUUAUUUAAAUUUCAUCCACAUACUAUUCAUUCUGAUAAUUUUAGAAACUUUAUAAAUCUCUUUUUAGUUUUAUUCAAAAAAUUUAAUUUUUCAUAAACCUCCUUGCCAUGUCUUCCCUUGAAAAGGAAGAGGAAUAUAAAAAUUCCACAUGAGAGUUUUCCAAACCCAUUCACAAAUUUUGACUAGAAGAACUUUCAAAAGAAGAUAUUAUUCUAUACAGGUAUAAAAUUCUUUACUUUUCCUCAAAGUAAUAUUUGAAGAAGGGUAAAAAGACUGCUAAUUCCUUCUUCCAAAUAAGAGAAGGGAAAAAAGACUACGCUAAUCCUUCUCCAAGUUGAUUACAAUGCAACAAAUAGUAAGUUUUUUAAUCAUACUGCCAACGAAAGUUGUCUCUCCAACAAAUAGCAGAAAUUUCAUCCAAAUCAACAGAUGCUCCAUCCAAAAAAUUUCCAGCCCAAUUAUGUCUACAAGGCAUUCUAAAAGACUCACCCACUAACUAAUCUUCAGCUACUACAAAAACCAAACCACUCCUAUUCAAAGAUUCCUUCAACAAGAAAGCCUCUUCAGCCCCACCAAAACCUUGAAAAGAUCCCUUCAAAAUUACCAUAGGUCAAAAGUUGAUUCUACACCAGCAAAAGUAGUCUCUUCAUCUGCAAGUCACCGACAAAAUUGCAGCCUUACCAAAAUACUUCGCCAACCUAUGCUGCCCUACCAACAAAGUUAUCAGCUAGAUGCUUCUUUGGCAAAAGUUGUUUCCUCACCAACAAGUUACUUUGCCUUCAAAAAAGAAGACCAUCUCAUUAACAAAGUUGCCACCUCAUCAGAAAAGAUACCCCACC